rnacentral:rRNA from 1 species
CCAAUAGCGUACAUUAAAGUUGUUGCAGUUAAAAAGCUCGUAGUUGAACUUAGGGGUUCACCCAUUGGUCAGGCUUAAUUGUCUGUACUGGUGAGAUGAGUCUCUACCUUCUGAGGAACUUUCAUGCCAUUUAUUUAGUGUGCUGGGAAAUCAGGACUGUUACUUUGAAAAACUUAGAGUGUUUAAAGCAGGCUAACGUCUGAUUACAUUAGCAUGGAAUAAUGAAAUAGGACGGAUUGAUUCUAUUUCGUUGGUUUCUAGGGUUACCGUAAUGAUUAAUAGGGAUAGUUGGGGGCAUUAGUAUUCAAUUGUCAGAGGUGAAAUUCUUGGAUUUAUUGAAGACUAACUACUGCGAAAGCAUUUGCCAAGGAUGUUUUCAUUAAUCAAGAACGAAAGUUAGGGGAUCGAAGACGAUCAGAUACCGUCGUAGUCUUAACCACAAACUAUGCCGACUAGGGAUCGGACGCAGUUAAUUUUAUAAUGACGUGUUCGGCACCUUACG